rnacentral:rRNA from 1 species
GAAACGACUGCUAAGACUGGAUAGGAAGAUAAAAGGCAUCUUUUAUCUUUUAAAAGACCUAGUAAUAGGUAUGCUUUAGGAGGGGCUUGCGCCAUAUUAGUUAGUUGGUAGGGUAAUGGCCUACCAAGACGAUGAUGUGUAGCUGGACUGAGAGGUUGAACAGCCACAUUGGGACUGAGACACGGCCCAAACUCCUACGGGAGGCAGCAGUAGGGAAUUUUCGGCAAUGGAGGAAACUCUGACCGAGCAACGCCGCGUGAAUGACGAAGUACUUCGGUAUGUAAAGUUCUUUUAUCAAGGAAGAAAAGCAAAUGGCGAACCAUUUGUUUGCCGGUACUUGAUGAAUAAGCCCCGGCUAAUUAUAUGCCAGCAGCCGCGGUAAGACAUAAGGGGCAAGUGUUAUCCGGAAUUAUUGGGCGUAAAGGGUGCGUAGGCGGUCUAGUAAGUCAGUGGUGUAAUGGCAACGCUUAACGUUGUCCGGCUAUUGAAACUGCUAAACUUGAGUUAGAUAGAGGCGAGUGGAAUUCCAUGUGUAGCGGUAAAAUGCGUAAAUAUAUGGAGGAACACCAGAGGCGUAGGCGGCUCGCUGGGUCUUAACUGACGCUGAGGCACGAAAGCGUGGGGAGCAAACAGGAUUAGAUACCCUGGUAGUCCACGCCGUAAACGAUGAGUACCAAGUGUCGGGUUAAACCGGUACUGAAGUUAACACAUUAAGUACUCCGCCUGAGUAGUACGUACGCAAGUAUGAAACUUAAAGGAAUUGACGGGACUCCGCACAAGCGGUGGAUCAUGUUGUUUAAUUCGAAGAUACCCGAAAAGCCUUACCAGGUCUUGACAUGUUUUUGCAAAAUGAUAGUAAUAUCGUGGAGGUUACCAGAAACACAGGUGGUGCAUGGUUGUCGUCAGCUCGUGUCGUGAGAUGUUAGGUUAAGUCCUAAAACGAGCGAAACCCUUAUCGUUAGUUGCCAGCACGUUAUGGUGGGGACUUUAACGAGACUGCCAAUGAUAAAUUAGAGGAAGGUGAGGAUCACGUCAAAUCAGCAUGCCCCUUAUGACCUGGGCUACAAACGUGAUACAAUGGCUGUUACAAAGGGUAGCUGAAACGCAAGUUCUUGGCCAAUCCCCAAAAACAGUCCCAGUCCGGAUUGAAGUCUGCAACUCGGCUUCAUGAGGUUGGAAUCGCUAGUAAUCGCGAAUCAGCAUGUCGCGGUGAAUACGUUCUCGGGUUUGUACACACCGCCCGUCA